UCCUCUUUUGUAAGAGGCAGUUUCACUAGAGUGAUACAACUAGUGAUGGGGGUUGCGCUCGUUGUGGGACUUAACCCGACAUCUCACGACACGAACUGACGACAGCCAUGCAGCACCUGUGUAAGCUACCUUGCGGUUCACUUUCGUUUCUGAAAGCUAACACUUACAUGUCAAACCCUGGUGAGGUUCUUCGUUUUGUCUCGAAUUAAACCACACGUUCCCCUGCUUGUGCGGGUCCCCGUCAAUUCCUUUGAGUUUUAGCCUUGCGACCGUACUCCCCAGGCGGGAUACUUAACGCGUUAGCUUACGACACUGCCGGGGUCAAUACCGACAAUAUCUAGUAUCCAUCGUUUACAGCGUGGACUA
rnacentral:misc_RNA from 1 species